UACGGAGGGUGCGAGCGUUGUCCGGAAUCACUGGGCGUAAAGGGCGCGUAGGCGGCCUGGUAAGCGUGCGGUGAAAGCCCGGGGCUCAACUCCGGGCCUGCAGCCGAUACGGGCAGACUAGAGUUCGGCAGGGGAGACUGGAAUUCCCGGUGUAGCGGUGAAAUGCGCAGAUAUCAGGAGGAACACCGGUGGCGAAGGCGGGUCUCUGGGCCGAUACUGACGCUGAGGAGCGAAAGCGUGGGGAGCGAACAGG
rnacentral:rRNA from 1 species